AUGUCGAGGGUUUCCUCAUCAGUCCGACACCACCCUUCCCUCCCACCCCGAACUGCAACCCCGUGGAAUCGGAGGAGCGACACGAUGUCGACCGCGGCGAUGGUGCAGGUCGGCGACGUGCCGGACCCGACGAUGCGGAACCACCUGGAGCAGGACACCCUCGAGUGGAUCUUCGUUGGUGGCAUGGGCGGCGUCGGCAAGACCAUCUGCAGCUCCAUCGUCUCCAUCUACGCCUGUCAGUCCGUGUUCGUCAUCUCCAGUGACCCUGUUCUUCACCCUCAUCAAGGGCUUCUGCAACCUUUACGCCAAGGUGAUUAUUUUCUCCCCUCUCUAUUUGCUUUCCUCCAGUUCACUCCAUCGGCCCUGGGAUCUACG
rnacentral:rRNA from 1 species